rnacentral:rRNA from 1 species
CCUACGGGAGGCAGCAGGGAGGAAUAUUGGUCAAUGGACGAGAGUCUGAACCAGCCAAGUAGCGUGAAGGAUGACUGCCCUAUGGGUUGUAAACUUCUUUUAUAUGGGAAUAAAAUGUUCCACGUGUGGGAUUUUGUAUGUACCAUAUGAAUAAGGAUCGGCUAACUCCGUGCCAGCAGCCGCGGUAAUACGGAGGAUCCGAGCGUUAUCCGGAUUUAUUGGGUUUAAAGGGAGCGUAGGUGGAUUGUUAAGUCAGUUGUGAAAGUUUGCGGCUCAACCGUAAAAUUGCAGUUGAAACUGGUAGUCUUGAGUACAGUAGAGGUGGGCGGAAUUCGUGGUGUAGCGGUGAAAUGCUUAGAUAUCACGAAGAACUCCGAUUGCGAAGGCAGCUCACUGGACUGCAACUGACACUGAGGAUCGAAAGUGUGGGUAUCAAACAGGAUUAGAUACCCGGGUAGUC